rnacentral:rRNA from 1 species
ACAUGCAGUCGAACGGUAGCACAGAGAGCUUGCUCUUGGGUGACGAGUGGCGGACGGGCGAUUAAUGUCUGGGAAACUGCCCGAUGGAGGGGGAUAACUACUGGAAACGGUAGCUAAUACCGCAUAACGUCGCAAGACCAAAGUGGGGGACCUUCGGGCCUCACACCAUCGGAUGUGCCCAGAUGGGAUUAGCUAGUUGGUGAGGUAUGGCUCACCAAGGCGACGAUCCCUAGCUGGUCUGAGAGGAUGACCAGCCACACUGGAACUGAGACACGGUCCAGACUCCUACGGGAGGCAGCAGUGGGGAAUAUUGCACAAUGGGCGCAAGCCUGAUGCAGCCAUGCCGCGUGUAUGAAGAAGGCCUUCGGGUUGUAAAGUACUUUCAGCGAGGAGGAAGGCAUUAAGGUUAAUAACCUUAGUGAUUGACGUUACUCGCAGAAGAAGCACCGGCUAACUCCGUGCCAGCAGCCGCGGUAAUACGGAGGGUGCAAGCGUUAAUCGGAAUUACUGGGCGUAAAGCGCACGCAGGCGGUCUGUCAAGUCGGAUGUGAAAUCCCCGGGCUCAACCUGGGAACUGCAUUCGAAACUGGCAGGCUAGAGUCUUGUAGAGGGGGGUAGGAUUCCAGGUGUAACGGUGAAAUGCGUAGAGAUCUGGAGGGAUACCGGUGGCCAAGGCCGGCCCCUGGACAAAGACUGACGCUCAAGUGCGAAAGCGUGGGGAGCAACCAGGAUAGAUACCCUGGUAGUCCCGCCGUAAACGAUGUCAAUUUGAAGGUUGGUUCCUUGGGGAAGGGCUUUUCGAGCUAACGCGUUAAAUAGAAC